UUUAUGAAGAAAAAAGAACUAAAGGCAUGGAAGAGGAAGAGGAACUCAUAUUCAUAUUUGCAUUUUCGCACUCUAAGAAUAGCCUCCACUAAAUCAGCUUCUGUUUUGAAGGAGAAAAACGAGUUUGAAGUUGGGACAUGCAUGCUGAAUGUGAUGAAGAAUGGGCUACGGGUUUGAUGAGUUUGGAGUUGGAGUUUUGGUCAAGAUAGGAACUCAAUUGCAGCAUGUUCAUCAUCUAAAGCUCCAUUGAUCCAAGGUGCAGUUUAGUAGCUUUUGGCAUAUAGCAGGUUCGGAUUGACGGCUUAAAGUGGUGAUGGCUCGGAGACCUAGUCAAAUCUCAUUUUCCGCUGUGCAGAUCCAUUGAAGACACAUGUUUUGUAAUUCUUAUUGGAAUUUCAUGUUGUAUUGUAUUAUGGAUCUUUCUAUAUCUAAAGCUUUUGUAUGUACUCAGUAUCAAUUUAACG